rnacentral:rRNA from 1 species
ACGGAAAAGGGAAAGGCUUAGUGGCGGACGGGUGAGUAACGCGUGGGUAACCUGGCCCAUACAGGGGGAUAACACUUAGAAAUAGGUGCUAAUACCGCAUAACAACAGAAAGCGCAUGCUUUUUGUUUGAAAACCAAGGUGGUAUGGAAUGGACCCGCGUCUGAUUAGCUGGUUGGCGGGGUAAAGGCCCACCAAGGCGACGAUCAGUAGCCGGCCUGAGAGGGUGGACGGCCACAUUGGGACUGAGACACGGCCCAAACUCCUACGGGAGGCAGCAG